AACGAACGCUGGCGGCAGGCUUAACACAUGCAAGUCGAGCGCCCCGCAAGGGGAGCGGCAGACGGGUGAGCAACGCGUGGGAAUCUACCCAUCUCUACGGAAUAACGCAUGGAAACGUGUGCUAAUACCGUAUACGUCCUUCGGGAGAAAGAUUUAUCGGAGAUGGAUGAGCCCGCGUUGGAUUAGCUAGUUGGUGGGGUAAAGGCCUACCAAGGCGACGAUCCAUAGCUGGUCUGAGAGGAUGAUCAGCCACACUGGGACUGAGACACGGCCCAGACUCCUACGGGAGGCAGCAGUGGGGAAUAUUGGGCAAUGGGCGCAAGCCUGAUCCAGCCAUGCCGCGUGAGUGAUGAAGGCCCUAGGGUUGUAAAGCUCUUUCACCGGUGAAGAUAAUGACGGUAACCGGAGAAGAAGCCCCGGCUAACUUCGUGCCAGCCGCCGCAGUAAGAC
rnacentral:rRNA from 1 species